rnacentral:rRNA from 1 species
AUACGUAGGGUGCAAGCGUUAAUCGGAAUUACUGGGCGUAAAGCGUGCGCAGGCGGUUUUGUAAGACAGUGGUGAAAUCCCCGGGCUCAACCUGGGAACUGCCUUUGUGACUGCAAGGCUAGAGUACGGCAGAGGGGGAUGGAAUUCCGCGGGUAGCAGUGAAAUGCGUAGAUAUGCGGAGGAACACCGAUGGCGAAGGCAAUCCCCUGGGCCUGUACUGACGCUCAUGCACGAAAGCGUGGGGAGCAAACAGGAUUAGAUACCCUGGUAGUCCACGCCCUAAACGAUGUCAACUGGUUGUUGGGUCUUCAUUGACUCAGUAACGAAGCUAACGCGUGAAGUUGACCGCCUGGGGAGUACGGCCGCAAGGUUGAAACUCAAAUGAAUUGACGGGG